rnacentral:rRNA from 1 species
CCUUUGUACACACCGCCCGUCGCUACUACCGAUUGAAUGGCUUAGUGAGGCCUUCGGAUUGGGUUCGGAGACUGGCAACAGACUCUGUUUCUGAGAAGUUGGUCAAACUUGGUCAUUUAGAGG